AGGGGCGGCCAGCUGCUCGCGGUGCGGAGCAGGGUCAGGAUGGACGAGGACGUGCUAACCACCCUGAAGAUCCUCAUCAUCAGCGAGAGCGGCAUGGGCAAGUCCAGCCUGCUCUUGAGGUUCACAGACGAUACUUUUGAUCCAGAACUUGCAGCAACAAUAGGUGUUGAUUUUAAGGUGAAAAUAAUUUCAGUGGACAGAAAUAAGGCAAAACUUGCAAUAUGGGAUACUGCUGGUCAAGAAAGGUUCAGAACAUUAACUCCCAGCUAUUAUAGAGGUGCACAGGGGGUUAUUUUAGUUUAUGAUGUCACAAGAAGAGACACCUUUGUUAAACUGGAUAAUUGGUUAAAUGAGUUGGAAACAUACUGCACGAGAAAUGACAUAGUAAACACGCUAGUUGGAAAUAAAAUUGAUAAGGAAAAUCGUGAAGUUGAUAGAAAUGAAGGCCUGAAAUUUGCAUGAAAGCAUUCCAUGUUAUUUAUACAGGCAAGUGCAAAAACCUGUGAUGGUGUACAGUGUGCUUUUGAGGAACUUGUUGAAAAGAUCAUUCAGACCCCUGGACUGUGGGCAAGUGAGAACCAGAAUAAAGGAGUCAAGCUGACACCCAGGGAAGAAGGCCAAGGAGGCGGAGCGUGUGGUGGUUACUGUUCUGUGUUAUAAACUCUGGGAGACGCCAUCUCUUGCCUAUUUGAUCAGAUAAUGUCAUCUUUCUGUAUAUAAACUCUCUAACUGCUAUUUUAGGGACCUUGCAGUUUGCACAUAUUUGUUUUGUAUCAUGGCAGUAAAUAUUUGUGAGAAAGCCCACUCAUUGACUUUUCCAGGUAAAACGUAAGCAUGCACAGUUUGCAAUCUGCAGUUUUUUAUGUAACAUAAAAUAGGUGUACCUUUAUAAGUACAUUUGAUUUUAUGAUUUACAUUCAUCAUGUGAUUUUUUAAAAAUCCACCUCUCUAGUAUAUGUCGAUACAAAGUCUAGUUUUGGUCUCCUUUUUGCUUAAAUACUUAUCAAUUACUGAAUUAAUUGGUAUUGUAGAACUCCCAGGACCACUGGGAGAUAAACAGAUGUCAUCAAACCUGGCAGAUUUCCCUUCAGGACUAAAAAAGAGCAUGAUUCCACAGCUUUCCUAGGAUGUUCGCUGACGGAUUCUCUUUAGUACUAAGCAAAAUCCUCUUUGCAGGAUGUGGUUGAGGCCAAUUUAUAAUUAAAUCCCGUUUGUUCUGAUACUUCUGAAGUAGCAUUAAUAUGUUAAAGAAGUUUGGUCUUCCUUGCCUUCAAGAGUAGCUCAUUACUUAGCUGGAGUUUUAAUUCUGUGAUGUGUACAUGGCUUCAUGAGCCUCUGUGCAGCAUUUUGGGUUGUGUGGUGUUUGACAGAAUGGCAAUAAGGUUCCCCCAUUUUGG